rnacentral:rRNA from 1 species
UACGUAGGUGGCGAGCGUUAUCCGGAAUUACUGGGUGUAAAGGGAGCGCAGGCGGGGCGACAAGUCAGCUGUGAAAACUAUGGGCUUAACUCAUAGACUGCAGUUGAAACUGUUGCUCUUGAGUGGAGUAGAGGCAAGCGGAAUUCCGAGUGUAGCGGUGAAAUGCGUAGAUAUUCGGAGGAACACCAGUGGCGAAGGCGGCUUGCUGGGCUCUAACUGACGCUGAGGCUCGAAAGUGUGGGGAGCGAACAGGAUUAGA